UCGGUACCCGGGCGAAUUCCAAGCUUGAGUUUGAUCCUGGCUCAGGAUGAACGCUGGCGGCGUGCCUAAUACAUGCAAGUCGAGCGAGGUUCUUCGGAACCUAGCGGCGGACGGGUGAGUAACACGUGGGUAACCUGCCUAUAAGACUGGGAUAACUUCGGGAAACCGAAGCUAAUACCGGAUACUUUCGAGCAUCGCAUGAUGCUUGAUGGAAAGACGGCUUCGGCUGUCACUUACAGAUGGACCCGCGUCGCAUUAGCUAGUUGGUGAGGUAAUGGCUCACCAAGGCGACGAUGCGUAGCCGACCUGAGAGGGUGAUCGGCCACACUGGGACUGAGACACGGCCCAGACUCCUACGGGAGGCAGCAGUAGGGAAUCUUCGGCAAUGGGCGAAAGCCUGACCGAGCAACGCCGCGUGAGCGAUGAAGGCCUUCGGGUCGUAAAGCUCUGUUGUUAAGGAAGAACAAGUACGAGAGUAACUGCUCGUACCUUGACGGUACUUAACGAGAAAGCCACGGCUAACUACGUGCCAGCAGCCGCGGUAAUACGUAGGUGGCGAGCGUUAUCCGGAAUUAUUGGGCGUAAAGCGCGCGCAGGCGGUUUCUUAAGUCUGAUGUGAAAGCCCACGGCUCAACCGUGGAGGGUCAUUGGAAACUGGGAAACUUGAGUGCAGAAGAGGAAAGCGGAAUUCCACGUGUAGCGGUGAAAUGCGUAGAGAUGUGGAGGAACACCAGUGGCGAAGGCGGCUUUCUGGUCUGUAACUACGCUAGGCGCAAAGCU
rnacentral:rRNA from 1 species